rnacentral:piRNA from 1 species
UGUGAAACAGAAGUUCCGUUUAUGGCUGAA